rnacentral:rRNA from 1 species
UACGGAAGGCAGCAGUGGGGAAUAUUGCACAAUGGGCGAAAGCCUGAUGCAGCUAUGCCGCGUGUAUGAAGAAGGCCUUAGGGUUGUAAAGUACUUUCAUCGGGGAGGAAAAAACAAAACUAAUAAUUUUAUUUCUUGACGUUACCCGAAAAAGAAGCACCGGCUAACUCCGUGCCAGCAGCCGCGGUAAUACGGAGGGUGCUAGCGUUAAUCAGAAUUACUGGGCGUAAAGAGCACGUAGGUGGUUUUUUCAAGUCAGAUGUGAAAUCCCUGGGCUUAACCUAGGAACUGCAUUUUGAAACUGAAAUACUAGAGUAUCGUAGAGGGAGGUAGAAUUCUAGGUGUAGCGGUGAAAUGCGUAGAUAUCUGGAGGAAUACCUGUGGCGAAAGCGGCCUCCUAAACGAAUACUGACACUGAGGUGCGAAAGCGUGGGGAGCAAACAGGGAUUAGAUACC